rnacentral:rRNA from 1 species
CUACGGGUGGCUGCAGUGGGGAAUAUUGCACAAUGGAGGAAACUCUGAUGCAGCAACGCCGCGUGGAGGAUGACACUUUUCGGAGCGUAAACUCCUUUUAUAUAGGAAGAAGAUGACGGUACUAUAUGAAUAAGCGCCGGCUAACUCCGUGCCAGCAGCCGCGGUAAUACGGAGGGCGCAAGCGUUACUCGGAAUCACUGGGCGUAAAGAGCGUGUAGGCGGAUUAAAAAGUCAGAAGUGAAAUCCUAUAGCUUAACUAUAGAACUGCUUCUGAAACUCUUAAUCUAGAAUAUGGGAGAGGUAGAUGGAAUUUCUGGUGUAGGGGUAAAAUCCGUAGAGAUCAGAAGGAAUACCAAUUGCGAAGGCGAUCUACUAGAACAUUAUUGACGCUGAGACGCGAAAGCGCGGGGAGCAAACAGGAUUAGAUACCCUGGUAGUC